CCGGCGCACCUGCGCGCUGCCGGGGGCGCGCGGCCCGGCUGGGGCCGGAGCGGCUCUGAGGGCCCCGGGAGCGCCCUCGGCACGGGCGGGGUCGGAGGUGCUUCGUAAAUAAAAGUGCGCCGGCCCUGCUCUAUGGUCUCAUCGUACGUGCUCAGCUGAUUCUUUUUGGAGGAAGUGGCCUGUUUGUAUAGGAAGGUGAUUUUACAUCUAUGGAAAGGAGAGUAAAAAUGAAGACUACAUGAAGAUUACAAGAUUAAUAACAAGAAGUGUUCCUGUAGCCUAUGAAGAUGUCUAAAGAUGUCUGAGAGCAUCUCCCUGCUGUAGGCUAGUGAGCAGAACAUUUUCUGUAUGAUUCCUCAGUUAUCCUGUGAGAGGGAACCAUAAUCCUGCUGUCUGCCACCUCCCAUCACCAGCAUUUUCUUGCUGCAGUUGAAGCCUGUGUGAGUCUGCACUGGCAAGAAAUCAAACCAUUCAAUUGAAUUUAGCUGCAUUUAACAUAGUAAUUAACAGCAGAUCUAAUUCUAUAUAAUGUGCUAUGUGCUAUGGUCAGAAUGGCUAUUUAGAGCAAUGAUUCCAGAAGCUGACUCCUGUCCUGUGCAUAAUCUGUAGUUAUACUCUAAGAUUAUGGUAUUUUACAUAAUAUAAAUACUACAUAGGACUAUAAUGUCCUGAUAGUUCUAAGGAUUCCUAACACCUUUCUGCUACAAUGAAAUAAAGAUGAAAAAUGAUGCUGUGUUUACAA